rnacentral:rRNA from 1 species
GACGAACGCUGGCGGCGUGCUUAACACAUGCAAGUCGAGCGGUAAGGCCUCUUCGGGGGUACACGAGCGGCGAACGGGUGAGUAACACGUGGGUGACCUGCCCUCAGCUCUGGGAUAAGCCUGGGAAACUGGGUCCAAUACCGGAUAUGACCUUUCCUCGCAUGGGGUUUGGUGGAAAGUUUUUUCGGCUGGGGGUGGGCCCGCGGCCUAUCUGCUUGUUGGUGGGGUGAUGGCCCACCAAGGCGGCGACGGGUCGCCAGGCUGCGAGGGCGACCGGCCGCACUGGGACGGAGGCACGACCCGGGCUCCUCCGGGAGGCGGCAGUGGGGAAUAUUGCGCACUGGGCGGGAGCCUGACGCAGCGACGCCGCGUGGGGGAUGACUGCCUUCGGGUUGUAAACCUCUUUCGACCCCGACGAAUUUGGACGGUAGGGGUAGAAGAAGCACCGGCCAACUACGUG